GGCCCUGCUGAGGGGCUGUGUCUGCCCCGUUCCCGCGCCGCGCUCCCCGCAGGCGCUGCCGCCCAGCCCCGCCGAGCUCCUCGAGGUUCAGAUUCUUUCUGCUUACAGAAGGCCAGCACACAUGCAGUAUUCCUCUCCGGUACCUUCCCCAUUCCCUAGUCCUGCCUGCUCCUUCUCUAUCCACCAGCCUUGCCUGUACCUGAUGUGUUCAUCCUGCACCAGGCAACCUUUGGCAAACCAACAUCAUCCUGUGCUGUAUCUUCGCUCCGUCUCUAGAGCAGCACUUCAGCCUCAGAGCGAAGAAUGCCUGUUAACAUGGAAUUAAUUGGUAUUUUAUAACCAGGAAACCAAAGCACCUUAUUUGCAGAUCAACCACUUUUUGCUCAGUUGGUCUCUAAAGGAGUGGCUCAUUGCUGUACAUGUAAAAUGGGCUGCCCAGGGGUUAGGGAUGGAUAAAGCAAAGCACAAAUUCCCUUGCCAGAUUCACCUGGCAAGUGUAAUUUGGAAAGACAUUAUAACACCUUUGUUACAGAAUUGCAGAAGUUUUGAUGGAAAAGGACCACAAGAGGUUAUGUAAGGAGUUUCCAGAGGUCCCUUCCCAGCACCACGCUGAUGAUCAGCACAGGAUGAGAUCAGCCGUGGCUCUGCCUACCUGAGCCAUAGCACCUUCCGUGGCCAGAUGUUCCCCCACCCAUCUGGUGACCUCUGUGAAGGCUGCACCAUCCCAACAUUCCACCUUAACCUUUCAGGACUUUGUGGUUAGUGCUCCUUAAUGUAUCACCAGGCACUGCCAAGAAGGUUUUGAGUCCAUUAUCUUUGAAACUGCUUUAUCAGUACUUGCAGACUGCUGGUGGGUCAGGCCCUGCUAACUCUUCACCAGGAGAAAGCAGCCCCGCUCCUCCACCUGUAUUCAAGGGCCGUGUCCCCACCUUGGUUGUCCAGCACUGAUGUCUCUCUUGGCUUCUCAAUUUUGUGGGUUCCAAUACUGGACAAAAAAAAGAAUGUAUGAUUUUAUAACAGAAACUCAUCUGCCAGUUCAGUCUUAA